UACGGAGGAUGCGAGCGUUAUCCGGAUUUAUUGGGUUUAAAGGGUGCGUAGGCGGCCUGUUAAGUCAGGGGUGAAAGACGGUAGCUCAACUAUCGCAGUGCCCUUGAUACUGAUGGGCUUGAAUGUACUAGAGGUAGGCGGAAUGUGACAAGUAGCGGUGAAAUGCAUAGAUAUGACAUAGAACACCAAUUGCGAAGGCAGCUCGCUACACUAUUAUUGACACUGAGGCACGAAAGCGUGGGGAUCAAACAGG
rnacentral:rRNA from 1 species